UACGUAGGGUGCGAGCGUUGUCCGGAAUUAUUGGGCGUAAAGAGCUUGUAGGCGGUUUGUCGCGUCUGCUGUGAAAAUCCGGGGCUCAACCCCGGACUUGCAGUGGGUACGGGCAGACUAGAGUGUGGUAGGGGGAGACUGGAAUUCCUGGUGUAGCGGUGAAAUGCGCAGAUAUCGGGAGGAACACCAAUGGCGAAGGCGAGCUCGCUGGGACGGUACGUGACGCCUGAGAC
rnacentral:rRNA from 1 species